GAUGAACGCUAGCGGCAGGCUUAACACAUGCAAGUCGAGGGGUAUUGGUUUUCGGACCAAGAGACCGGCGCACGGGUGCGUAACGCGUAUGCAAUCUACCUUUUGCGGAGGGAUAGCCCAGAGAAAUUUGGAUUAAUACCUCAUAGUAUAGUACUUUGGCAUCAAGGAACUAUUAAAGUCACAACGGCAAAAGAUGAGCAUGCGUCCAUUAGCUAGUUGGUAAGGUAACGGCUUACCAAGGCUACGAUGGGUAGGGGUCCUGAGAGGGAGAUCCCCCACACUGGUACUGAGACAUGGACCAGACUCCUACGGGAGGCAGCAGUGAGGAAUAUUGGACAAUGGGCGCAAGCCUGAUCCAGCCAUGCCGCGUGCAGGAUGGCGGUCCUAUGGAUUGUAAACUGCUUUAUACAGGAAGAAACACUCCGACGUGUCGGAGCUUGACGGUACUGUAAGAAUAAGGAUCGGCUAACUCCGUACAGCAGCCGCGGUAAAG
rnacentral:rRNA from 1 species